GGUGACAAAGGCCAGGGAGGACCUUUUCUUUCUCUUCCUGUUGUCUGACACGCCACCGGUAUUUCUUCCUUAACUGUUACAGGUGUCCUCAGGCCUGAGCCUUCAGAUGGUGAUUACGUCUACAACUCACUGGUAGGAAAAAGGGUUUAAAAUGCGAUCUGACAAUUCUCCAGAAGUCCUCUCUGCUUUUGCCUCCCCUCGUCCCCCGAAGAGAUGCUACUGGAGGCAGGAGAAAUCCAUUGAGCUCUUCAUCUACAGGAAGAGUGGCGCCCCAGCAACCCUGCAUGUCUCCACACAGGGCUUGUGAGCACGGCUUCAACGGCAGCAUCUCCGAGUCUUGGCAGAGUGCCCUGUGAUCCUCCCCGAAUUUGAGUGGUUAUUCUAAGGCUCAUUCCCCACUUGCCUUCCUAGCUCCCCAGGAGAUGGUCAGGGGACAACUGAGGGACAGUUUCUCAUCACCUCUCAUGUUCUGAUGAGGUUUAAAGCUUUCUGCCUCGCUCCCCUCAGGGUACAUUUGCAGGCUAUAAAACCGCCUAGAGGCAGCAUAGAAUUGACUCCUCAGCAACGGGGUGCCCCAUCUUUCCUAUUGCAGUCAUCUGGUCUGUUUUGUUUCAGUGACUUCCUGUGGGGUGGAGGACACGCAGAAUGGACAUUUUGGCGACACUAGUUUUCACUGUCUCUAUGAGCAACACGCGGCCUAAAUCCAGCUGCCUUGCCUUGACUCCCUGCGUCACCCAAAGUGACCCUCGUCAUCUACUAUCCAGUGACUAAACGCCCCUGGGCACCAGCAGCGGUUGAUGGCCUCUCCUCGAAGCGUUCUUAACCAGAGAAUGGACAGAAUGCAGGGGGUGCUGGGAACAUGGAUAGGAACCAAUGACAUUUUCAAUUUUCCCAACUUCCACCUGAGAUUUAGCAUUUCUUUCAACAACACAAUGUGGACAACAGACCAUAGCAGUAUAUGUAGUAUCAGUGACUUGUCACUGGUUAGAAAGCACAGAUAUUUUCAUAUCCUAUUACUCCAUUGCAGAAAUCUUAAAAUACUCUGUUCCCCAUUACUUUGAAAUUAUGUUAAAUUUUGAGCCCACCCCCUAGAUCUUAUUAAUACAUUUGUAAAGUGGUUUACAUCUUAUUAUACUAUGACUUUGCUUUAAGAAUAUUUUGAUAAUUUAUUUCCAUCUUACUGGAUUUCUUUGUCAUCUCAUGUAUUAAAUUUUAUCCAAAUAUU